UUGUGGACUGGAACCGGCGGUGGAUGGACUAUCUUCGGCGGUUUGGGCGGAUAAGACUUCUUAGGCGGUGGUUUGUGCACUGGCACCGGCGGUGGAUCAACUUUCUUCGGCGGCUUAGGUGGGCAUGGCUUCUUGGGGAUUGGCGGUGGCUUGUGUACCGGAACCGGGGGUGGGUGCUCUAUCUUUGGUGGCGGCUUGUAAACCGGAACCGGAGGUGGGUGCUCUACCUUUGGCGGCGGCUUGUAAACCGGAACCGGUGGUGGAUGCUCUAUCUUUGGCGGUUUAGGCGGACAAGGCUUCUUAGGAAUCGGCGGUGGGAGCUCCACCUUUGGAGGUGGUUUGUGAACCGGGACAGGAGGGGGAAGCUCUACCUUUGGAGGUGGCUCGUGAACCGGGACAGGUGGGGGAAGCUCUACCUUAGGCGGUGGCUCGUGAACCGGGACAGGUGGCGGAAGAUCAACCUUUGGGGGUGGGUCGUAAACCGGGACCGGAGGUGGGCAAGGUUUCUUGAAUUUGGGGAACG
rnacentral:lncRNA from 1 species